rnacentral:rRNA from 1 species
GACGAACGCGGCGGCGUGCCUAAUACAUGCAAGUAGAACGCUGAAGGAGGAGCUUGCUUCUCUGGAUGAGUUGCGAACGGGUGAGUAACGCGUAGGUAACCUGCCUGGUAGCGGGGGAUAACUAUUGGAAACGAUAGCUAAUACCGCAUAAUAUUGAUUAUUGCAUGAUAGUCAAUUAAAAGGUGCAAUUGCAUCACUACCAGAUGGACCUGCGUUGUAUUAGCUAGUUGGUGAGGUAACGGCUCACCAAGGCGACGAUACAUAGCCGACCUGAGAGGGUGAUCGGCCACACUGGGACUGAGACACGGCCCAGACUCCUACGGGAGGCAGCAGUAGGGAAUCUUCGGCAAUGGACGGAAGUCUGACCGAGCAACGCCGCGUGAGUGAAGAAGGUUUUCGGAUCGUAAAGCUCUGUUGUAAGAGAAGAAACGAGUGUGAGAGUGGAAAG